rnacentral:misc_RNA from 1 species
UGUUACUCCCCCCCCACCUCUUUCUGCGCACACACCCACACCAGACCCACUGCCAUCAUGCAGCUCCGUCGCGCCACCAUGGAGGACAUGUACGAGAUGCAGCACAGCAAUCUCCGUUGCCUUCCGGAGAACUACAACCUGCGGUACUACUACUACCAUCUCCUGUCAUGGCCGCAGCUGCUCUACGUGCAGCAGGAUUACAACCGCAACACCGUUGGCUAUGUUCUAGGCAAGAUGGACGAUGAGGAGGUGCCGGAUAAAAAGCAUGGCCACAUCACGUCCUUGGCCGUGCUGCGGUCGCAUCGCAAGCUCGGCAUCGCGUCGCGCGUGAUGCGGGCGACUAUGAAGGAGAUGGACGCCGAGUACGGCGCUCACUACUGCUCUCUGCAUGUGCGCAAGACGAACGACGCCGCGCUGCACCUCUAUCAGGACACCCUCGGCUUUCGCUGCGUCGGCGUAGAGGAAAAGUACUACAUGGACGAGGAGGACGCGUAUCACAUGAAGAGCUUCUUUCACCAGGCGAAUCCCGGCUCCUACGUCGACGAUCACAAGCGGCUGAUCCGCAAGGCGGUGCCUGGUGAGUUGGAAGGCAGCCCGGCCGCGGCUGGCGCGUCGUCGCCGGCGUCCGGCGGACGCGGCGGGGACAAGAAUGGCAAGAGGGGCAACGAUAAGGCCGCGAAGGAGAUCUCCGCGAAGGAGCGGGAGGCGGCGAUGGCCGAGCUGCUGGGGCUGGAGACGGGCGGCAAGGGCAGGGUCGCGGGUGGUGGUGCUGGCGGAAAAGGCAAGAGCGGCAACAGCAGCGGCAGCGGCGGGAAGAGAGGCAGCGGGCGACAGAAGUAGCCGACACUUCCUUCCCUCUUUCUCCGUUUCGUUACAGCGUGCCAUGCUCCUCUGUGUGAUAAGAGGCUAAGCAGACUGGGCUGUCGGUGUACACCCAGCACCCGGCGUACACGCACAACACAUCCAACAUGAAGCAGACCCCCCCUCCCCCCCAAACACACACGCACACAUACACACACAGACAUACCUACGCGAAGCGGCGGCAGGCAGACUGCCCCCUCGUCACUCUAAUGCCGACUUUUUUUCUCUCAGGGUCCUCCUCAUG